GCCAGGCGUGGUGGUGCGCACCUGUAGUCCCAGCUACUUGGGAGGCCGAUGCUGGAGGAUCACUUGAGCCCAGGAGGUCGAAGCUGCAGUGCGCCAUGAUGGUGCCACUGCACUCCAGCCUGGGCGACAGAGUGAGAUCCUGUCUCAA
rnacentral:SRP_RNA from 1 species